GCGUAGGAAUCUACCUGGUAGUGGGGACAACAGUCGGAAACGACUGCUAAUACCGCAUACGUCCUAAGGGAGAAAGCGGGGGAGUCUUCGGACCUCGCGCUAUCAGAAGAGCCUGCGUUAGAUUAGCUAGUUGGUGAGGUAAGGGCUCACCAAGGCGACGAUCUAUAGCUGGUCUGAGAGGAUGAUCAGCCACACUGGAACUGAGACACGGUCCAGACUCCUACGGGAGGCAGCAGUGGGGAAUAUUGCGCAAUGGGCGAAAGCCUGACGCAGCCAUGCCGCGUGUGUGAAGAAGGCUCU
rnacentral:rRNA from 1 species